rnacentral:rRNA from 1 species
AGAAUCAACGCUGGCGGCGUGCCUAACACAUGCAAGUCGCACGAGAAAGGGGAUUCGUCCCUGAGUAAAGUGGCGCACGGGUGAGUAACACGUGAAUUAUCUACCUCCGAGUGGGGAAUAACUGAGAGAAAUCUUAGCUAAUACCGCAUAACACUUACGAGUCAAAGCAGCAAUGCGCUGAAAGAGGGGGUCGCGGCCGAUUAGCUAGUUGGCGGGUAAUGGCCCACCAAGGCAGUGAUCGGUA